rnacentral:rRNA from 1 species
CAUUUUAAAAAAAACUUAGUCGCCAGACGGGUGAGUAUGCAUAGGAAUCUACCUAGUAGUAUAGGAUAGCCACUAGAAAUGGUGGGUAAUACUGUAUAAUCCCUGCGGGGGAAAGAUUUAUCGCUACAUGAUGAGCCUAUGUUAGAUUAGCUAGUUGGUGGGGUAAUGGCCUACCAAGGCAGUGAUCUAUAGCUGGUCUGAGAGGAUGAUCAGCCACACUGGAACUGAGACACGGUCCAGACUCCUACGGGAGGCAGCAGUGGGGAAUAUUGGACAAUGGGCGCAAGCCUGAUCCAGCUAUGCCGCGUGAGUGAGGAAGGCCUUAGGGUUGUAAAACUCUUUCAGUAGGGAAGAUAAUGACGGUACCUAUA